GAUAACAUAAAAGGCGUUCAACAUUGUGUCCUGGAGUAUCCGUCACAUGGCUGGAAUGAUGAAGCCUGUAAUAAAGCUAACGUUUUUGUCUGUCAACAAGUGGUAAAGAUGACCACCACUGUAAAGAUGGCUGCUAUGACUGGUGCCGACCUGACUGAUCCAGACAUCAGCGCCCAGGUCCUUCAGCAGCUUGGUGCUUUACUAAAAAGUCAGGGAUGGACUGAUUUCAAGAUUCAAUGGAAGAUGAAACCAAGAAAAAUGACAAAAAAAUGAAGGCAGAGCACCUUAGUGUAACACAUUUAUUUAUGUCCUCUGCAAAUGUUUUUGUUUCCACUUAUGUAGUAGUUGCAUGUCAUCUGGUCAAUCAUGAUGCAAACGAGACUAGUGUGUUUUUCUUUGCAAAGGUGAUUAAUUCAUAGAAGCAGAUUUAUAAUAUAUAUAAACAUGAUCUGUUAUUAAUUGAUAUCAAUUUAAUCGACAACAAUAUAUAUAAUGAAAAUAUGCCACCUUUAUAAUUCAAAAAAAAAUUUCAUAAUCAAUUAUUGGAGUAAAUAAUUAUAUAGGUGAAACAACAUGUAUAUAGUUUUCUUUUAAUCUAACUAAUUACGUUAUUCAAAGUGGGGUAUUUCUGCUGCCUGAAUUAAUUGUGUAAAUGUGGGAUUUAUUUUAGCUUUUGUUCUUCAAGUCUUUAAAAUUCCACAAUGUCCCAUCAUCCAAUAUAUUGUAGCUGAUUCUUUUAUUUUAAGAAUGCUUCUUUCAUGAAUAGCAAUUUCUAUUUUUACUUUAGUAAAACUUACCAAUUCUGCUAUCAUGGUAAAAAUAGUAAAAAAUAAAAAAUAUUCCCUGCAUACACACACAUGCACACAAAAAACCUUAUUUCUUGACUAGUUGUGCUAACUCUUCAGCUAAUUCUUAGAGGGAGACAUAGUGGGUAUACAGUAGAGGUCGGAGAGAGAUUUUAGAAAAUUAAAACCUAGUCUACUGUUAAUUUUAACAAAACUAAUAGAUAAUUUACUUUAUUUGUACAUGGAUUUUAUGAUUUAAAAG